UACGGAGGGUGCAAGCGUUGUCCGGAUUUAUUGGGUUUAAAGGGUGCGUAGGCGGCCUUAUAAGUCAGCGGUGAAAUACCCAGGCUCAACCUGGGGGGUGCCGUUGAUACUGUGGGGCUUGAGUACGUUCCGUGUACAUGGAAUUUAUGGUGUAGCGGUGAAAUGCAUAGAUACCAUAAGGAACACCGAUAGCGAAGGCAUUGUACAGGGGCGUAACUGACGCUGAUGCACGAAAGCGUGGGUAGCGAACAGG
rnacentral:rRNA from 2 species